rnacentral:rRNA from 1 species
AAUAUUGGACAAUGGGGUCAACCCUGAUUCAGCAAUGUCGCGUGUGUGAAGAAGGUCUUCGGCUUGUAAUGCACCUUAAGUUGGGAGGAAGGGCUGUAAGUUAAUACCUUGCUGUUUCGACGUUACCGACAGAAUAAGCACCGGCUAACUUCGUGCCAACAGCCGCGGUAAUACGAAGGGUGCAAGCGUUAAUCGGAAUUACUGGGCGUAAAGCGCGCGUAGGUGGUUUGUUAAGUUGGAAGUGAAAGCCCCGGGCUCAACCUGGGAACUGCUUUCAAAACUGGCAAGCUAGAGUAUGGCAGAGGGUGGGGGAAUUUCCUGUGUAGCGGUGAAAUGCGUAGGUAUAGGAAGGAACACCAGUGGCGAAGGCGACUACCUGGACUGAUACUGACACUGAGGUGCGAAAGCGUGGGGAGCAAAC